UACGGAGGGUGCAAGCGUUAAUCGGAAUUACUGGGCGUAAAGCGUGCGUAGGUGGCUUGUUAAGCCAGAUGUGAAAGCCCCGGGCUUAACCUGGGAACUGCAUUUGGAACUGGCAAGCUAGAGUUGGGUAGAGGUAAGUGGAAUUUCAGGUGUAGCGGUGAAAUGCGUAGAUAUCUGAAGGAACACCAGUGGCGAAGGCGGCUUACUGGACCUAAACUGACGCUGAGGCACGAAAGCGUGGGUAGCAAACAGG
rnacentral:rRNA from 1 species